ensembl:rRNA 5S_rRNA 5S ribosomal RNA
ACCCAUACCAAGCUACUCUAGUUAAGUCUAUUUUUGACCUAUCACAGAAGCUAAGCAGUGCCAGGCCGGGCCAGUACUUGGAUGGGAAACGCCUUGGAAUUCAAGGUGUUUUUGGUC